CAAUUUGAAUCUUUAUAGGUAAGAGUUUCAUUUACAUUGAAAAUUAAUUUGUGCAAAUCAAAUUAAAUUGA
rnacentral:tRNA from 1 species